UUCUUAUGGAAAAGAAAAAGAAGCUAAACCUAAAACCAUCCUUAUUAUGUCCCUCUUCCUCUCGAUGUUGUCCUUCUAUCGAAUUCCCGAGAUCUUUUGACGAAUGAAUAAAAGAAAUCGGUGGUUGAUUUGUGCGAGCAUGUUUGGUAUAUCCUGAUUUUUAAGAAUAGCUUGAUUCCAUGUUUCAGAGACUUUUUGAUCAUUCUUAGAGACUUUUUGUGAAAUUGAUGCUACUCGAUUUACUUAAAUUAAGUUAAGUUAUUCGUGUAAGAUUAAGUUAUUUAUCGGAUAUUGCUGAGGCUUAGUCAUUCGUAAUGAAUUAAUGUGGAAGUAAAAAUUCAUAUCUGAUGGUUAUAGAGUUCUCAUGAUAUAUAUCAGGAAAAAUGGGUUUAAUUUCGAUUGAAUAACAAGAGAAACGGGCAGAGUUUUCACGAUUAUUAUGAGAAGAAGACUGAAUGAAUAAAAGAAAUCGGUGGUUGAUUCGUGCGAGCAUGUUUGGUAUAUCCCGUAACCUUCGUAAUGAAUAGAUUAGAUUGGUUGUUUGUUCAUGAAGAGAUUUCCUGUAUUGACUGAGAUCAUUGUUACAUCUCUCCAGGGUGCUUGAUUUUGAGAUUGGCUUCCUAAAAUACUUUCUGGAAAAAUGGGUUUGAUUUCGAUUGAAUAACAAGGGAAACAGGCAGAGUUUUCACGAUUAUUAUGAGAAGAAGACUGAAUGAAUAAAAGAAAUCGGUGGUUGAUUUGUGCGAGCAUAUUUGGUAACCUUCGUAAUGAAUAGAUUAGAUUGGUUGUUUGUUCAUGAAGAGAUUUCCUGUAUUGACUGAGAUCAUUGUUACAUCUCUCCAGGGUGCUUGAUUUUGAGAUUGGCUUCCUAAAAUACUUUCUGGAAAAAUGGGUUUGAUUUCGAUUGAAUAACAAGGGAAACGGGAGAGUUUUUACACUUUCAAGAAGGUUUUCAUAACAACCAGGGGCAGAGGGACUCUGGAAAGGUGUUAGUUUACUGGAAUCACAAAGAGUGGUUAAUGCAAAAGUGUUAGUUUACUGGAAAGUUGGUUGAAGGAGAGAGUUUCAGUGGCCAGCAAGCAUCAGAGGCCGAACGCACAGCUCUAUAAAUAUUCAGAAAACAGGUAGGCAGAUGUUGUUUGGUUGCAUAUAGGCUCUAGUUUUGUUUGUAAAAGCAGAAAAACAGCGAUUCUACAAUGUAAGGGGCUUCAGUUGAGGAUGCAAUUUUUGACUCUUUGCCAACAGUAGAAGAAGAAACAUAUCUACUGCUAAUGUAAGUUUUCGUACUUCACUACUUUAAUCUUUGCAAUAAAGAUUAAACCACAGUUAGAUGAUUGGUAUAAGAAGCACAGAUGAAACGAAGUCCAGAAAGAGAAAGGUCAAGAACAUUCCAUGUAUUAUAAUUCUCUUAAAAAUGAUUCUUUGAGGGUAGCCUAUAUUAUAAGGUAUGCGUAUUUAUAAGUUAAUGUUAAUCACUUAUUAUCUUUCGCAUAUGCCAGCCAGGACUUGCUAAAUUUGCUCCUCUGUUUCUCGCAAAUGAAUAUAUGGUCUUUUUGUGGUGUUUUAAACGUUGACAACAGUUAAUGAUUUGUAUGCACCAAUGAUUAAUUUGAGCAUGGUAGUCCCUUUUUUUAGCAAGAAAAUGCAUUACUG